UACGUAGGGGGCAAGCGUUGUCCGGAUUUAUUGGGCGUAAAGAGCGUGUAGGCGGCCAGGUAGGUGGGUUGUGAAAACUCGAGGCUCAACCUCGAGACGUCGGCGGAAACCCUCUGGCUAGAGUCCGGAAGAGGAGAGUGGAAUUCCGUGGUGUAGCGGUGAAAUGACGCAGAUAUCAGGAGGAACACCGGUGGCGAAGGCGGGUCUCUGGGCCGUAACUGACGCUGAGACGCGAAAGCGUGGGGAGCGAACAGG
rnacentral:rRNA from 1 species